rnacentral:rRNA from 1 species
UAACACAUGCAAGUCGAACGGUAGCACAGAGGAGCUUGCUCCUUGGGUGACGAGUGGCGGACGGGUGAGUAAUGUCUGGGAAACUGCCCGAUGGAGGGGGAUAACUACUGGAAACGGUAGCUAAUACCGCAUAACGUCGCAAGACCAAAGAGGGGGACCUUCGGGCCUCUUGCCAUCGGAUGUGCCCAGAUGGGAUUAGCUAGUAGGUGGGGUAACGGCUCACCUAGGCGACGAUCCCUAGCUGGUCUGAGAGGAUGACCAGCCACACUGGAACUGAGACACGGUCCAGACUCCUACGGGAGGCAGCAGUGGGGAAUACUGCACAAUGGGCGCAAGCCUGAUGCAGCCAUGCCGCGUGUAUGAAGAAGGCCUUCGGGUUGUAAAGUACUUUCAGCGAGGAGGAAGGUGUUGAGGUUAAUAACCUCAGCAAUUGACGUUACUCGCAGAAGAAGCACCGGCUAACUCCGUGCCAGCAGCCGUGGUAAUACGGAGGGUGCAAGCGUUAAUCGGAAUUACUGGGCGUAAAGCGCACGCAGGCGGUCUGUCAAGUCGGAUGUGAAAUCCCCGGGCUCAACCUGGGAACUGCAUCCGAAACUGGCAGGCUAGAGUCUUGUAGAGGGGGGUAGAAUUCCAGGUGUAGCGGUGAAAUGCGUAGAGAUCUGGAGGAAUACCGGUGGCGAAGGCGGCCCCCUGGACAAAGACUGACGCUCAGGUGCGAAAGCGUGGGGAGCAAACAGGAUUAGAUACCCUGGUAGUCCACGCCGUAAACGAUGUCGACUUGGAGGUUGUGCCCUUGAGGCGUGGCUUCCGGAGCUAACGCGUUAAGUCGACCGCCUGGGGAGUACGGCCGCAAGGUUAAAACUCAAACGAAUUGACGGGGGCCCGCACAAGCGGUGGAGCAUGUGGUUUAAUUCGAUGCAACGCGAAGAACCUUACCUACUCUUGACAUCCACGGAACUUGCCAGAGAUGGCUUGGUGCCUUCGGGAACCGUGAGACAGGUGCUGCAUGGCUGUCGUCAGCUCGUGUUGUGAAAUGUUGGGUUAAGUCCCGCAACGAGCGCAACCCUUAUCCUUUGUUGCCAGCGGUUAGGCCGGGAACUCAAAGGAGACUGCCAGUGAUAAACUGGAGGAAGGUGGGGAUGACGUCAAGUCAUCAUGGCCCUUACGAGUAGGGCUACACACGUGCUACAAUGGCAUAUACAAAGAGAAGCGACCUGGCGAGAGCAAGCGGACCUCAUAAAGUAUGUCGUAGUCCGGAUUGGAGUCUGCAACUCGACUCCAUGAAGUCGGAAUCGCUAGUAAUCGUGGAUCAGAAUGCCACGGUGAAUACGUUCCCGGGCCUUGUACACACCGCCCGUCACACCAUGGGAGUGGGUUGCAAAAGAAGUAGGUAGCUUAACCUUCGGGAGGGCGCUUACCACUUUGUGAUUCAUGACUGGGGUG